CUAGCUACAGGCUUAACACAUGCAAGUCGAGGGGCAGCAUGGUCUUAGCUUGCUAAGGCCGAUGGCGACCGGCGCACGGGUGAGUAACGCGUAUCCAACCUGCCUUACACUCUUGGACAGCCUUCUGAAAGGGAGAUUAAUACAAGAUGUUAUCAUGAGUAAGCAUUUUCGCAUGAUUAAAGGUUUACCGGUGUAAGAUGGGGAUGCGUUCCAUUAGAUAGUAGGCGGGGUAACGGCCCACCUAGUCUUCGAUGGAUAGGGGUUCUGAGAGGAAGGUCCCCCACAUUGGAACUGAGACACGGUCCAAACUCCUACGGGAGGCAGCAGUGAGGAAUAUUGGUCAAUGGACGAGAGUCUGAACCAGCCAAGUAGCGUGAAGGAUGAAGGUUCUAUGGAUUGUAAACUUCUUUUAUACGGGAAUAAACGAAUCCACGUGUGGAUUUUUGCAUGUACCGUAUGAAUAAGGAUCGGCUAACUCCGUGCCAGCAGCCGCGGUAAUACGGAGGAUCCGAGCGUUAUCCGGAUUUAUUGGGUUUAAAGGGAGCGUAGAUGGGUUGUUAAGUCAGUUGUGAAAGUUUGCGGCUCAACCGUAAAAUUGCAAUUGAUACUGGCAGUCUUGAGUACAGUUGAGGUAGGCGGAAUUCGUGGUGUAGCGGUGAAAUGCUUAGAUAUCACGAAGAACUCCGAUUGCGAAGGCAGCUUACUAACCUGUAACUGACAUUGAUGCUCGAAAGUGUGGGUAUCAAACAGGAUUAGAUACCCUGGUAGUCCACACGGUAAACGAUGAAUACUCGCUGUAGGCGAUAUACAGUCUGCGGCCAAGCGAAAGCAUUAAGUAUUCCACUUGGGGAGUACGCCGGCAACGGUGAAACUCAAAGGAAUUGACGGGGGCCCGCACAAGCGGAGGAACAUGUGGUUUAAUUCGAUGAUACGCGAGGAACCUUACCCGGGCUUAAAUUGCAACCGAAUAUGGCGGAAACGCUAUAGCUAGCAAUAGCGGUUGUGAAGGUGCUGCAUGGUUGUCGUCAGCUCGUGCCGUGAGGUGUCGGCUUAAGUGCCAUAACGAGCGCAACCCUUGCCGAUAGUUACUAACAGGUCAUGCUGAGGACUCUGUCGGGACUGCCAUCGUAAGAUGUGAGGAAGGUGGGGAUGACGUCAAAUCAGCACGGCCCUUACGUCCGGGGCUACACACGUGUUACAAUGGGGGGUACAGAGGGCUGCUACCACGCAAGUGGAUGCCAAUCCCAAAAACCUCUCUCAGUUCGGAUUGAAGUCUGCAACCCGACUUCAUGAAGCUGGAUUCGCUAGUAAUCGCGCAUCAGCCACGGCGCGGUGAAUACGUUCCCGGGCCUUGUACACACCGCCCGUCAAGCCAUGGGAGCCGGGGGUACCUGAAGUGCGUAACCGCAAGGAGCGCCCUAGGGUAAAAUUGGUGACUGGGGCUAAGUCAUAAC
rnacentral:rRNA from 1 species